rnacentral:lncRNA from 1 species
GUGGGUUGCCAAGUUGUUGGCUUGUGAGUUUAGAGGAGACUAUCUCCUCUUCGAUGAGAGUUCUAGCCCUAAGCGUUAGGAUUUUUGGGAGAGAGAAAUCAGAUCAGAGAAAAGGUGUUUCUCUAAUUUUUUUUUUCACCACACACAUCUUUCAUUGAUCCAUCUUCAACAUUGAAAGAAUCUGAGUUGAUCAAAGAAAAAAUUCAGAUCAGCAGUCUAGAAGCCUUCUACGCAAGCUAGCACUUCUGUGAAGGUUGAUCGAUGUUUGAGGGCUUCGUGUGGACUUUCUAUAGAGG